rnacentral:rRNA from 1 species
UAGGGAAUCUUCCGCAAUGGACGCAAGUCUGACGGAGCAACGCCGCGUGAGUGAAGAAGGAUUUCGGUUCGUAAAACUCUGUUGUUAGAGAAGAACAGCGCAUAGAGUAACUGUUAUGCGUGUGACGGUAUCUAACCAGAAAGCCACGGCUAACUACGUGCCAGCAGCCGCGGUAAUACGUAGGUGGCAAGCGUUGUCCGGAUUUAUUGGGCGUAAAGCGAGCGCAGGCGGUCAAUUAAGUCUGAUGUGAAAGCCCCCGGCUCAACCGGGGAGGGUCAUUGGAAACUGGUUAACUUGAGUGCAGAAGGGGAGAGUGGAAUUCCAUGUGUAGCGGUGAAAUGCGUAGAUAUAUGGGGGAACACCAGUGGCGAAGGCGACUCUCUGGUCUGUAACUGACGCUGAGGCUCGAAAGCGUGGGUAGCAAACAGG